rnacentral:rRNA from 1 species
AGAGUUGAUCCUGGCUCAGGAUGAACGCUAGCUACAGGCUUAACACAUGCAAGUCGAGGGGCAGCAUUGGAGUAGCAAUACUUCAGAUGGCGACCGGCGCACGGGUGAGUAACACGUAUCCAACCUGCCGCUUACUCGGGGAUAGCCUUUCGAAAGAAAGAUUAAUACCCGAUGGUAUAAAGAGUUCGCAUGUUCUCUUUAUUAAAGAAUUUCGGUAAGCGAUGGGGAUGCGUUCCAUUAGAUAGUUGGCGGGGUAACGGCCCACCAAGUCUACGAUGGAUAGGGGUUCUGAGAGGAAGGUCCCCCACAUUGGAACUGAGACACGGUCCAAACUCCUACGGGAGGCAGCAGUGAGGAAUAUUGGUCAAUGGACGAGAGUCUGAACCAGCCAAAAGUAGCGUGAAGGAUGACUGCCCUAUGGGUUGUAAACUUCUUUUAUAAGGGAAUAAAGUGAGGGACGUGUCCCUUUUUGUAUGUACCUUAUGAAUAAGGAUCGGCUAACUCCGUGCCAGCCGCCGC